AUACCAUAACAUACCAUAUUAAAAUGUUUUACGAAGUGCAAGGGCACAAAUUUGAAAGAAAAUGUGUCUGUUUUCCCACUUCCGCUUUUUUUUCUAACCACCCCGGUGACGUCAGUGCAGGGACUUAUCUGACAGACGCGCACUGUUUACAGUGGGGCAGAGGAGCUAAUAGCAGAACUGGUUGUUAGUUUUGGCGUAAUUUAUCAUCAUCUUGGUAUAUUAUUGCAUUUAUGGAAACUGCACAAACUCCAGCCUGUCAACAGAUCAAGUCCACAAGUUUCCUCUUGCUAUUUUGGUUCGUGAAAUGGGAUGAAUCCGAUAAGAGUGAUAGCUGACGCGAAUGGCGAGAAACACUCCUGGUUCAGUCGGAGAUGCAGCUCGGUAAGCUGUACACGACUUUGGGAGACAGAUUAUGACCCGGAGCUAAAGGCUUUCUCUCCACUGGCCUCUCGGUCAACUGUGCUUCACUUUGGCUCACAGAGUAACCUCAACUAAGAAUAUAUGCAUCAGCCCUCACUGCAUGUCUGACGGUGGACUACUGGAGGUCUUCACAGGCUCGACGAGAAUGCAGAAGUGGCCACUACAUUUGCUCUCCUUUCUAGAUCCUUCCAGCGGGUUUACAAGGAUGAGGCUGUCGGCAUCUUUUUACACAGCAUUCACAAUUUAACACACAUUAAAGACAUGAUGGUGUGGUACCCACAUAAACGUUGGCCAACUUACUGAAAAAUAAUGUUAGGUUUACUUUUAAAUGGGUCAGAUGAUAUAUUUUCCUUUCAGUAUACACACACUCACACAGAUACUUAUGCAUAUAUAAAGAGUAAAAAUGCUGGGUAUUAACACUGCUUAUGAUUUUGUGCUAUAUAAAUAAAACUUGAACUUGAGUUGCAUUUAGAAUUUGAA